rnacentral:rRNA from 1 species
UGAGGGAUAUUGGUCAAUGGGGGGAACCCUGAACCAGCAACGCCGCGUGAGGGAAGACGGUUUCGGAUUGUAAACCUCUGUCCUAUGUGAAGAUAAUGACGGUAGCAGAGGAGGAAGCUCCGGCUAACUACGUGCC